GACGAACGCUGGCGGCGUGCUUAACACAUGCAGGUCGAACGGAAAGGCCUCUUUCGGGGGGUACUCGAGUGGCGAACGGGUGAGUAACACGUGAGUAACCUGCCCUUGACUUUGGGAUAACUUCAGGAAACUGGGGCUAAUACCGGAUAGGAGCUCCUGCUGCAUGGUGGGGGUUGGAAAGUUUCGGCGGUUGGGGAUGGACUCGCGGCUUAUCAGCUUGUUGGUGGGGUAGUGGCUUACCAAGGCUUUGACGGGUAUCCGGCCUGGGAGGGUGACCGGCCACAUUGGGACUGAGAUACGGCCCAGACUCCUACGGGAGGCAGCAGUGGGGAAUAUUGCACAAUGGGUGGAAGCCUGAUGCAGCAACGCCGUGUGCGGGAUGACGGCCUUCGGGUUGUAAACCGCUUUCGCUCAUGACGAAGCUUUGUGUGACGGUAGUGGGUAAAGAAGCACCGGCUAACUACGUG
rnacentral:rRNA from 1 species